GGCACGGCCCCCGCGGAGUUGAGGAGCUCACGGCUGGGGCUCACAACUCCCGGCGCAGACUGCACGUCUUUGUAGCACUGUUGGAGGAAUGAGCAUGGAGAAGGAGUGGGAAGGGGAGAGGUGUCUUUGUGGAUUUUGCCAACGGAAGGAGCCGGCUUGGAGCGAGGACCGGAGGGCUGUCUCCUUUCAAGAACGGGGACCUGCCCGGCCAGCGGCUGCCUGUGCGCGGGAUCCCCGCUCGCUGCGGGCGCUGAUCCAUUCCCGGUCCCGGCUCUCCGGGGCACCGCUGCGGGCACUGACAAGUGGUGAGUUGCGCUCUCCCUCCGCGCUCCCGCUCCGCGCCUCCCGCCCGCCCGCGGGGAGCAGCGCGGCCCCGCGACGUCCCCGCCGAGGCCGCAGGUGCGGCCGCCGCCCCGCGCCCCCUUCACCUGCCGCAGGCCGCGGAGGGUGCGCGCCGGGCGGGGCGCCGGGCCCGCCGCGCCCCGCGGGGAACGGGCGGUUCGCCGCUGUGCCGGCACCCUCGGGAGCUACAGGUGCCCGCUCCCCACGGUGUCCGCUCCCCACGGUGUCCGCUCCCCACGGUGUCCGGCCACCGGCCCCGUCCCGCUGCCUCCGCGUGGCUUCUGCGGCGACUUUCGCCAGGCACAAAUAACUGCAAAUGCGCGUGCGAACCGUCUGAUCAGGUCGUGUGCAAGCCAGAAAAACCUCCUAAAUCAUCACAGCGUAACGUGUGAUUAAUAAAUCACACAUAAAUAAGUCAGUUAAAAUGUAUGGUCUGUAGAAAGAGGAAUUAUUUAAACAUUUCUACUUAGCCGGAAUUUCCAUCAACUUCUCUGCGUUUUCCUUUCAGGAUGUAUUUGGGGAUUAUAAGGCAGUUCAGCUAGGACAGCAUUCUUCAGCUCCACAUUUUGAUUAUCAAAAAUAGAAUGAAUGUAAUAGUGGCUUUUCAAGGACAGCAAUUACUAUCUUUUAAAGUAACUGACAGCAUUAACCUACUUCAGCCAUCCAAGUGUAAACUAUAAUGUUUUUUAAAAUGAAUUUUAUAUAGAAUCUCUGUUGGGAUUAUAAAGUGAAGAUUUGGAAUAUAUGUUCCUUUAGUCUGUGAAUUUCUACUUUUCCUCUCAUCUUUGAAGGAUUUUAUGAAACAUAAUAUUGAGGGUAGUAAGAUGAUGAUGUAGAGCUGAAUACUUGAGACUGUAAUUGUUAGUAGGAAGAGACCUGUUUUCAAGUAAAGUGAAAAUAAUUUGUAGUUUAUUGUACAAAUAACAAAUUUAGAAAAAUGACAGAUAUUUCUCUAUAAUGUGUCAACUUUAGUCUGAAAUACAGUGAAACAGAUAAAUAAUAACUUGUUAUAUACUUUGAGAAGAAAUCUUAGAUAUUUUGAGUGCUGGGUCUAAUAACUUAUUCUGUGUCAUUUUAUAGACACUUAGAAAAGGUGCUUCUUACCUGCUUGAUAAAUAGUUCAUAAAAUAUUAAUAAAAUCAAUUAGUAUCUGUUAGCAAUUCCUGCUGUCCAGAAAGUGAAGGAGGAUGUAUUGUGACUGGGCUAUAACGUUCUCUUUUGAUUAGUCUGAAAAUUACCCACUCCAUAAGCAAUGACUCAGUUGAUUUGGCAUAUCUUACAAAGAUACUUUACUUACAAAUUGAAUCUUGGAAGGCUGUGGUUCCAGAGUCGGGGUUUUGGGGGCGAGAUGAGCUUAUGUUUUAUCCAACUGGCCCACAAAGUCCCGCUUUUGGUGGUCACUUUGUUCUGCAAAAGAAAACAGCACAUUAUGGCUCUUACACUGGACAGUAAACUUAGUAGUAAACUUCUGCUGCACUUAGUAAAGGGCUAUUAUGCACUUUAAAUAGAUAAUCAUGUUCUAGCUUUAAUGUUGUCUUCAGCAAUAAAAAAGUGGAUAGAAAAUAAAAUAAUUCUGAAAGUUAAACGGAGAAGUUUUCUAACUGUUGGUGGUGUUUUUCUCUUAAAAAAACAGCAAAAGCUGAAGAAAAAGUCACCUUUCAAAGGGUGGUCAUGCAAUACAGGUGAAUUGGGAGAAAAGACAGUUCCCAGAAAAGAGAGGCAGUUUAAACCUUGAAAAAAUCUUUUAAACCCUGGUAGCAUUUGUAUUGUCAAUCCCCGCCUCUUUUUUUUUGUUCACAACAUAUUCAUUAUAACGUAUCUCUUGAACGUUCCUUUCUGUGUGUCUGUGUGUGUCCACAUGUGCAUGGUCUUUAUCUGUGAUUCAAUUUAAAGACUGCUGAUUUUUGUACUGGUAAAAGUUGUGGAAUUUAUUAUUGUGAGUAAGGCAGGGUAAACCUGUUUAAGUUCAUGUUACUAUUUACAUUUUUGUAUCAAUAUCCUGAAUAACUGAAGUAUUAUUUUUACUUAAAAGUUACACAGCUGUACUUUCCUCAUGGGAUUCUAGAAAGUGUUGAAAACACUGGUAGAGGUACUGAACUUUCUCGUGGUUCCAACUAUACUGCACAGAUAUUUAACAGUAAAUGAACACAUGAUACAAAUUGUAAUUUUUACAAUGUUUCAGCAUAUUCACAUAACAUAUAUGCGGGAGCUCAGCUGGUGUAAAGGUGUCUGGCAUAGUUUUGACAUUUAAUGCCAGCUAAUCAAUCACCUGCUUAAGCUACACAUAAACAUCCAGACAUUCACAUUGUGAUCACAUUGUCACUGCAGUCAGGUUAAUUUUAAGAGUUGACCUAUACAGACUGAAUCAAUUUGACUAUUUCAAAAAGGCCUGGAAAUUCAGCUGAAGUGAGACAGUGAUACACUGUGAAAGCAAAGUUGUUGGCAUGUGAUUUAUCUGAUGACUACAUGCAGGAUCUGUACAUUUAUGCAAAUGAAUAUCAGGAUGAGUUAUCAAGAUUUUUCUAUAGAAUUCUCACAUUUUACAUUUUUUAGCAAUAUAAUUGCAACAAAAGUGAAAUAGGACGUAUCCAAACAUCAGUGCAACAAAUUCCUCACUUGUUUAAGACUGAAAUCUGAUUUGGAGGAGCUUAGAUUAAAUAAUAACUGUGGUGCUAAUAUGCUUUUUAGUUACUAUUUUCCAUUACAAUAAUACUGUUCAGAAGCAGCAUUUAUGAAAGAUUAAUUUUUCAUAAGCCAAUUAAGUUAAAAAUGUAACUGUAGAAAUUUUUUAUUUUUGACUUAUACUAGAGUAAAUUAGUACUUAGUUUGUGAAUACAUUCCAGACUUGUCCAAUCUUCCUAGCUGUCAGAUUUGGAUUGGUUUAAUUCCUGUGGUUGCUUCUCUAGUAUUCUGAGAAUGUAAGAGCAGAGAAUUAGAGAUGAGAAAGUGGAUCAAUGUGAGGAUCUUGCUUUAAGGGAAAAGAGAAACAUAUCCAAACAUCAGCAAAGAUCAGCUCUGCUCUGCUGAAAUACCACAGUUGCUUCUUACCAACUGUUACUUAAAAGCUCUUAAAUUAAAACGUAAUUUUGUGCAGCUACUUCCAGUAAGAUGUAAAGAUCACACUUUGUUAAUCAUCUAUUUUUAGAUUAUUUUUUAAAAUAGAUUCUAUCUGGCUCUCUACUGAGGAUAUAUAAAAUUCACUUGCAUUGCUUCUAGCACCAAUAACCUAGCUAUAGAAUUAAUACACUACUUAAAUGAUUAAUAAGCAGUGUUAAAGACCACAGUUACGCUUCCGUAGGCCUCCCUCAUACAAUAUUUUUAUUCACAUUUUUUUUCCCAUCAAUAAGCUUACAGAAAGAGCUCCUGUUUGUCUCUGGUGUGCAGUAGAACCAACAGCACAUAUAUAACCAACAGCAGCAUCUAUAUCUGCUGCUAUAGAUAUCAUGUGUAUAUUUUAAUCUUUAAAUGUAUGUUCAUUUUGUAUGUUUUACUUAAAUUAAUGAUGAUUAGACAAAACAUUGAUAGAUUUUCUAAACAUCUGUGUUAUAAAAAUUUGAUCUCUUUCCCUCACACUGGUUUUCCCAGCAGGUUUGCGUGCAGCUUGGGGUGCUGGCCUCAGAGCUGAGACUCCUGAAGUGCACUGUGUAUCCACAGUAUUAAUAAUUCAAUAUCUGGGAUCAAUCUAUCUUGCUAUUUGAUAUGAAAAAAAGAAAUUUACAGAAGAUAAAAAGUAGAUGGUCUGUUUGUAAUAAAAAUUUAAAUUUUCUUCAGAUAAAAAUGUAAUUAAUUAUUGAAAUAAAAAUAUUUAGAAAUAUCAACCCCAAUUAUUUAUUACAUUUAUAAUUUACGAAAUUGAAUGUCCUACUAGCUAUCUUUCUAUUUAGAAUAAAUUUAAAACUACA